UUGACCUCGGAUCAGGUAGGAAUACCCGCUGAACUUAAGCAUAUCAAUAAGCGGAGGAAAAGAAACCAACAGGGAUUGCCCUAGUAACGGCGAGUGAAGCGGCAACAGCUCAAAUUUGAAAUCUGGCUCUCGGGCCCGAGUUGUAAUUUGUAGAGGAUACUUUUGAUGCGGUGCCUUCCGAGUUCCCUGGAACGGGACGCCAUAGAGGGUGAGAGCCCCGUCUGGUUGGAUGCCAAAUCUCUGUAAAGUUCCUUCAACGAGUCGAGUAGUUUGGGAAUGCUGCUCUAAAUGGGAGGUAUAUGUCUU
rnacentral:rRNA from 1 species